UCUCCCACUAAUUUUCUUCUUCUUGGCUUGGUUGUUUUUACAGGAGAGAGAGAGAGAGAUUAGUUUGGAGAUGAAUACUACUAACUACUUCAGAUCUGAUCAUCUUCUUCUGUUCUUUCUCUUUUCCAUAUAAUUUCAAGAUCUUGAUCAUCUUUUUAUUGGUGUUUUGCAUCGCAGGGUUGCUGCUGGAAAGGAAAAACCCUGGAUCUACCUACUUUGGAUUGAUUUUGGUGAGUACUACUGCUAACACCAUACACUUUUGCUUCUUUGAUUCUUCUUCUUCUUCUUCUUCUUCAAAUGUUUGUUUGGUUUUCUUAAUAAUUAAAUUGUGAUAUCUUUUAUACUCUAGUUUGAAUUGAACAUAUUGGUUUUGCCUCAAUUUCUCAUUGUGGUCAUGCUUCUUUCUUUGUUUAAAAGCAUGGGAUAGAGUUUUUAUUUUUAUACAUAUGAUAUCCAUGUUCUGUUUUUAUGACCUAUUUUUGAUAUUAUUAGAUCUGGUUCAAAUAGAAAUGUUUUGUUCUAUCUUUUUUCUUAUGGAUUAUAAGGAAUUGAAAUAAAAGCAGCCAAUUAACAUGUGUUCUCUGCUAUACUUUGGCCCUAUUUGAUAACUGAUUUUAAUUCUGCUUCCUUUACCCUGAUUUCUUAAGUGACUUCACAUGUUAUUGAGUCUAAAGAUUGAUUGUACAUCUGAAAUUCGACGUGAUUAAGUUGUUAAAAUGACUUUGUUUGCUUUAUGUUGUCUUAUUUUUUCGAUUUUUCUAUGUUUGGUUGAUAUCAUGUUGUUGUACUACUAGUUAUGGCUCUUCAAUUAUCUUUACUUUUUUGAAUGUUGUGUCUUAGGGUUAACGUUUUCCUAUCAUACGUACAAAAUGCUAGCUAGUAUCACCAUCUGUGAUGAUGUAGUUGUUGUUAUGCUUCACUGACUGCUUGUUCAUGUUUCUCUCUUGUUUAUUAACAUGGUUAAAGUUUUUCUUAGUCAUAAACUCGUAAUCCAUGCUUUGUUUAAUCCUUUUCUUAUGGAGUAAACGGGAUAAGAAUGAAUGAUAAACGAGUUAAUUAACGUGUAUCUUGUACUAGUAUAUCAAAUCAUCUUGAAUGUUUGUCAUCCUUUAUGUAUUAACCUUUGCUUAUGUUUCCUUGGAAGUUCCAUGCAUCAAAUUCUGCUAAAGCACAAAGCAGGCCACCACUCAGUUCCGUGAGCUGAGAGGUGCACCACUCGAUUCCGUGAAUUGAGAGGUGCAAAGGCAAGCCACUGCUCGGUUCCGUGAACUGAGCGGACGGUAAAUGCAAAGGCAGGCCCCACUAAGUUCCGUGAACUUUGAGGUGCACCACUCAGUUCCGUGAAUUGAGAGGUGCAAAGGCAGGCCAUCGCUUGGUUCUAAGAACUAAGAGUUGCAUAAAUGUGUGCUAAAUGGAGUAAGUCUCACUUACCAAAGCAGUUUCGAGAUAUAUACAUUCAGAUGCAACUUUUGGAACACAGCCAAGUGAGCUUCUGUUUUUCUCCUCUUUUUUUCUGUCAUUUUGCAUAAAUUUCAUUCUUACUUGAGGAUUGGAGUAUCUUGCUUGUAUUUUUGUUGCACAACUUGAUUACUUAUUGCAGGGACAUAUUCAGUAGGGAGAGUAGUUAAAUCAAUCAGCUUGCCUGCUUGGCAUUUGAUCAGCCUGCUGCCUGGGUCACCGAGAAUAACCCUGUUUAGCUUUUUAUGUAUUGCUGACUACAUUAUUGAUACUCUGGUAGUAUAUUUAGUUUUGUUAUUUCUUUCAUAAUCAAAUCUCAUGUUGAAUUUGUUUGACAAAAAAGAAAACAUGUUACAUGUCAAAUCAAAUGGUACACAUUCUUAACUCUAUCUCAAUGUAUGCUUAACUUGCCCUUGUAUUUCUAGAAUGCUGGAGUUUCUUCUUUGCUUGUAACAGGUCUAUCAACCUGUUACUACAUUUUUGCCUUUACAAAGAUAUUUAGUAGUUAUAGACAAUUGCAUACAGGCAUGGGUAUAAUGAAGGUAAACAUUUUUAACUUAUGUAUGCGUAAAAUUUGUUGCUAACUUGAGCGUUGGAGCAUCUUUUUUGUAUAUUUCGCAGGUCUUGCCUUUGUAUUCCUAUGACAAAUUCAAUCAGCAGAGUUGUUGAAAUGGAAUGUUGAUGCCUUGGGGGGAAUAUUAUCUGUGUUUUUAUAUGUUUUGCAUAUAAAUUAUUUCUAACUUGAGCGUCGGAGUAUCUUUUUUGUUUUUUGCAGGUCUUGCCUUUGUAUUCCUAUGACAAAUUAAAUUAGCAGAGUUGUUGAAACAGAAUGCUGGUGCCUCUUGGGGAAUAUUAUCUGUUCUUUUUCUUUGUUUUGCAUAAAAUUGGUUCUAACUUGAGCACCGGAGUAUGUUUUUUGUUUUGUGCAGGAAUUACAUUUGUAUUCCUAUGACAAAUUCAAUUAGCAGAGUUGUUGAAAUGGAAUGCUGGUACCUCGUGGAGAAUGUUAUUUAUAUUGUUUUUUACUAUAUUAUGCAUAAAAUUGUUUCUCACUUGAGCGUCGGAGUGUGUUUAUUGUUUUUUUGCAGGUCUUCCUUUUGAUUCCUAUUACAAAUUCAAUUAGCAGAGUUGUUGAAACAGAAUGCUGGUGCCUCGUGUGGAAUAUUAUCUGUUCUUUUCUAUGUUUUGCAUAAAAGUGUUUCUAACUUGAGCGUUGGAGUAUCUUUUUUUAUUUUUGUCCUACUAUGACGAAUAUAAUUAACAGAGUUUUUGAAACAAAAUGCUGGUGCCUUGUCGGGGAUGUUAUCUGUUUGGCUUUUGAAUUUUGAUCAGUUUGACUUUAGGGGUAUGUCUGGCUUCAGAGGAUACAAAUGGAGACCGGUCAGUCCUUUGAAUUGUAUACAAACGAGACCAUCCUCUUCCCUGAUGGAAGCUACAUUUCGGCUCAAAAGUCUUGCCUGGUUAUUUGAAAGCCACUCAUUAGGGAGAAUUUCUAAAGCGGAAUGUUGGUGCCUGGUAGAGAAUGCUUGCGUGCUUAAAAACUAAACCAGUCUGUUGUCAGGGUAUGUUCAGGCCAAAGUAUCUCAUUUUGAGCCUUCUCAGACUGUCAGUUAUAUAUUUAGUUAUAUCAUUUGCUUAGUUUUCCCUUGUAAGUAGGAAUAAAAACAUGGGGAUCCAGUAGUGGGGAGCUGAUGAGUAAAUUACUACGGCUAGGAGUGCGCUAGAAAUUCUGUGGUACACAGAGGCUUGCCUUAUAUGUUGUUCCUUAAUGUUACCUUCUUGUAUUUGAAAAGAGUUUUGAUGGUGAAUGUGAUGAUACAAUUGCCUUGGUCAUUAUCCUCCAUUAGCUGUUACAGAAUGUAGAGAGUAUCCUCAGUAUGCCAUUGUAAAGUUAAUUUUUUGUUUGAUGCUUGGGAUUGACUUACCACAGAUUUGCAUCAUUUAUGAGAAUUAGUAGAUUUUGA